CGCCAGACUCCUACGGGAGGCAGCAGUGGGGAAUAUUGCGCAAUGGGCGAAAGCCUGACGCAGCGACGCCGCGUGAGGGAUGAAGGUCUUCGGAUCGUAAACCUCUGUCAGCAGGGAAGAACGGUCACUGUGCUAAUCAGCAGUGAAUUGACGGUACCUGCAAAGGAAGCACCGGCUAACUACGUGCCAGCAGCCGCGGUAAUACGUAGGUGGCAAGCGUUAUCCGGAUUUACUGGGGGUAAAGGGCGAGUAGGCGGGAUUGCAAUUCAGAUGUGAAAACUAUGGGCUCAACCGAUAGAGUGCAUUUGAAACUGCAGUUCUUGAGUGAUGGAGAGGCAGGCGGAAUUCCCGGUGUAGCGGUGGAAUGCGUAGAUAUCGGGAGGAACACCAGUGGCGAAGGCGGCCUGCUGGACAUUAACUGACGCUGAGGCGCGAAAGCGUGGGGAGCAAACAGGAUUAGAUACCCUAGUA
rnacentral:rRNA from 1 species